AAAUUUAUAAUCUGGCACCUUCGGUGUCCGAGUUGUAAUCUCUAGAAAUGUUUUCCGCGUUGGACCGCACACAAGUCUGUUGGAAUACAGCGGCAUAGUGGUGAGACCCCCGUAUAUGGUGCGGACGCCCAGCGCUUUGUGAUACAUUUUCGAAGAGUCGAGUUGUUUGGGAAUGCAGCUCAAAUUGGGUGGUAAAUUCCAUCUAAAGCUAAAUAUUGGCGAGAGACCGAUAGCGAACAAGUACCGUGAGGGAAAGAUGAAAAGCACUUUGGAAAGAGAGUUAACAGUACGUGAAAUUGUUGGAAGGGAAACGCUUGAAGUCAGACUUGCUUGCUGAGCAAUCGGUUUGCAGGCCAGCAUCAGUUUUCCGGGAUGGAUAAUGGUAGAGAGAAGGUAGCAGUUUCGGCUGUGUUAUAGCUCUCUGCUGGAUACAUCUUGGGGGACUGAGGAACGCAGUGUGCCUUUGGCGGGGGUUUCGACCUCUUCACACUUAGGAUGCUGGUGGAAUGGCUUUAAACGAC
rnacentral:rRNA from 1 species